rnacentral:lncRNA from 1 species
GCGCAGCAGAGGGACUGCACGCCAUGCAAGGCUGCAGCCGUGCAGUCCAUCAAAUUACUCGAGAGCAUGGCGUUAAAACAUAAGCACGGCGUGCACCAAUGCACGCCGUUCAACCCUUUGAGCGUCGAAGGAUGGAGAAAAAGUGGAACUGCACGCCGUUCCUCCCUUUUUGCGUCGCAGAAUGGAGGAGAAUUGAAGAUGCACGGCGUGCAUCACUGCAUGCCGUUCCCCCUACUUUUGGUACGCGGAACAGACACCUUUGGGAUGCACGCCGUGCACCUUCCCAAAUCCGGC